UUGAUGAAUUUAAAAUUAAUAGAUAUAAAAUUAUUAUAUUAUCCUUUUUUAAACGGAAUUUAUUAACAGAGUUGGAUAGAAAGUGGAUAAUUGUCAUUUUCAAACCUUUUGACUAUCAUUUUAUCGUCAUCGCAAACUAUGGAUAGAUGCAUGUCGUCAGCCUUCUAGCAAAUACAGAAGGUUCUAAAAUAUCGGGUUAACGACUCCCAAGCAUUUCAUUAAUCACUUCGUUACUUAUUGCCAAUGAAACAUGAAAGAAAUGCUAAAUACAAGUUAAUAAAUUGGGAUAUUGCAAAUUCCUCUAUUAUUGUUCCGCAUGAUUUUUCUAUUUUCCUGUUCUUACUUUACUAUGGUUUUUGAGCUUCUAAUCAAAAUUGCAUCAUUUCAUAGGCUGGUCUUCCCCCAGGUGUUCUGAAUAUAGUUUCUGGCCAUGGUCCAACCGUUGGUGCGCCUCUUGCCAGCCAUAUGGAUGUGGACUAGCUUGCUUUCACUGGUUUUACCGAAUCUUAAGCCAGCUUAGGUACAUAAGGUCAGGCAUUGAAAGCAAUGCAACCCUUGAUUGUGGAGGUGACAGAUUUGGCACCAGAGGUUACUUCGUUCAGCCUACCGUCUUCUCAAAUGUUCAGCAAUCUAAAUCGUCUUUGGAAGUUUUCUCACACAGUAUAUCGGUUAUAAAGGCUAACUGCUAAAUUAGGUUUGCAAGUGGUUGACCAAGAAGUAGACAAUUGGAAGAAUUUUGGAGAAGUUGGGGUUAGAGUCGACACCAAUUAACACUAAAGGCUAUGAGACUUUGUUGAAAUUGGUGCAGCACACAGCUGGAGAUAGCUUUGAUCUUUAUUAUGGUCUGUUCAUGUACAAUGUAAAUGCAAUGGAGCAGCUAGAGGUUGGAUUUGGCUUUUGAUUCAUUGAAGAAGCAGCUUCUUGGUAGAGUGCAUGGUGUUCUGCGGAGGCAAAUGUUCGAAAAUGCAGAGACAUUCCUUGAUACGAGGGAGAAGCCGACAGCACCUAAGCUUUCUCAAAAUGAUAUUGCACAUGAAUCUUCCUUGGAGACUGUUAAUGUGCAAAUGAAUUAUGCUGGCCUAGUGAAAGAAAUUGUGCUAACUCUUUUGUGAGGGCACAUUAAUGGAACUGAGCAUAAACUUAAUUGUAUGGUCAAUAGUGCUGGAUUAGCAAUGGUACAAUUCUCUAGACGCAGUAGGCAGGUAGCUGAGGCAUUUAAUAUUAACUUCCAUGGAGAAAAUCUAAGCAAUUUUUGGUAAACAUAUGUGGAGGAAUAAUGAAGUGUGAUGUAGUUGCAAGCGGAAUUGUUAAUACCGCUAAACAGGUGAGCAGUGCAUUAAAUUGUUUUGGAUUUUAUGUAAACCAAUUCUUACCAUUUUAAAUGCAUGAAAUUGUACUGGACUAUCUGCCCUUUUCAGUACCUGAAUUUGUACUUUCAGUCAGUUACUCAUCUUCUAUAAUAUUGCCUACAAUUUUCACCUUUUUAUUCCAAACUUUUUCUAUGAAUGUAACUUUGGAAUAAGUGGAAGGAUGGCCUAUUUUCUCCACUAAUGUGAAAAUGGAAAGAGCAACGGAAAAUUGUUGGUGAUGGCCAGCGUUGAAUAUUUCAAUUGUCUCCAGGAGUUAUACUAAUAGCAAUAUUUUUGUUUGGUCUUGUACACAAGUUCGCCCUAAAAAAUACUAGUGGGAGUUCGACUUGAAGGCACCGAUGUUGACCAGCGAAAGAGAUACUUGAAGUAAAUAUGGAAUUCAAGCUGAUGUGAAAAAUCUUUUGAAUGAGAAUUUUGAUAUGAUAUAAAACUUCAUAAACUAAAGGUUCUGUUAUGAAGCUUCAUUUUCCCUAAUGGUUCUGCAGGAAAGUUGUUAUACACUAAUAACAGCAGAAGAUCUUGAUGAUGCUGCUGAGAAAGCAGUUAAACCAACUGUCAAAUGAGCAAAUCGAUGAUACAAGCCUGUUGUUCCUAUUCUUCAUACUUUUUACGAAUUUUGAUGAAAUGAAUCAAUUGAAUAUUUGCUGAUGAUGAAGCAGGAAGGGUGAAACUUUCUUAUAUUGCCUUUUAAAAUUGACUGUUUUGUGGUUAAGAGAAUUGUGGUGUUUCUUUUAGAUAUUUUAUACCGCUACCAAAAUACUUGCAAUUAAUUUUGCAGUUAUAUUCU